GGAAUUUAUGUAUCGAAAAAAGGCAGAAAGAAAGAAAAAACUCCUCAAAGAGAAAAAGUCUUUGGCACAGGCUGCAGAGAUGAGGAACAAGAGGUUGCAAGAGUUGUACAGGAAACAAAAAGAAGCUAUUGGGAAGAAAUCAUGUCCUGAUGAGAUGAACAAACCCAUUGGGAAAACGGGUUCUGCCAAAGGAAAUCCUCAGUGUGAAUUGGAGCAAAGGAAAACCAGUGGGGGAGUACUGGAAAGGAGGUUCAUGGCCUGGGUGGAUGAAACAUCCUCUCCUCUAUCACCUGAAGAUCACAGAGGCAGGAAUCAACUCCUGGAAACAGCUCAAUCACCUAAAAAAGGAGAAACAUCAGGUCCUCCAGCACCACUGGAAUCUGAAUGCUGGUUUCUCAGUCCUCUGAAAUGUGAAGACCUGAGGGACUGCUCUCCCCCAGCUCUGCAUUCACCUCCUCUGAGCUUUUCUGUUCCUCAGAAAGAUGCAAAACCUUCCUCCAAGGACUCAUCUUUUGGACUUUCUCCACAGAGAAGCAAACAGGAUCAGGUGAGAGCCAUCCACAGUCUGUGCAGGGAACUUGAAGAAAAGAUUGACAUGGCAAGGAAGAGGCUGAGUGAAGCCAGCUGGGCUAAAGCCUCUGCUGACAAACAGUCAACAGCUCUGGGCCUGUACAGUGAUCCUCCUUCUGCCCCAGAACCUGAGACUUCCAGGGAUAGGCAGGAGAGGACAAUGACUGCAGAAAUGCUUCUGGACACCACAGAUCCUGAAGUGCUUCGUGUGGCAUCCGAGAGGGAAUGGCGUGGACUGGGCAGCACUGGGGGUGCAACAGCCCCGGACAGGGAAAUGCCAACUCCUCUGCCUGGUGGGAAUGCUGAGAGGGAAGAAUUGCCCUGGAUCACUCACAGUGCAGGACAGAGUCACCUCAGCUCUGCAGGAGACCUGGGCAACACCUUGCAAGGUUUCCCAGUGAAUAAGGGCUCCAAGGUGGACAUAAGUCUAUUGCCUGAAAAGCCAAUAACCAGCCCAGCCUCUCCAG
rnacentral:lncRNA from 1 species